rnacentral:rRNA from 1 species
ACGAAGGCUAGGGUAGCAAACCGGAUUAGAUACCCGGGUAGUCUUAGCUGUAAACAUUGCCCAUUUGAUGUUGCUUUUCCGUUGAGGGAAGGCAGUGUCGGAGCGAAGGUGUUAAAUGGGCCGCUUGGGAAGUAUGGUCGCAAGACUGAAACUUAAAGGAAUUGGCGGGGGAGCACCGCAACGGGAGGAAUGUGCGGUUUAAUUGGAUUCAACGCCGGAAAACUCACCGGGAACGACCUGUGCAUGAGAGUCAACCUGACGAGCUUACUCGAUAGCAGGAGAGGUGGUGCAUGGCCGUCGUCAGCUCGUACCGUAGGGCGUUCACUUAAGUGUGAUAACGAGCGAGACCCACAUCUUUAAUUGCAAAUGUAUAUGAGAAUAUGCAUGCACUUUAGAGAAACCGCCAGCGCUAAGCUGGAGGAAGGAGUGGUCGACGGCAGGUCAGUACGCCCCGAAUUUCCCAGGCUACACGCGCAUUACAAAGAACGGGACAAUACGUUGCAACCUCGAAAGAGGAAGCUAAUCGCGAAACCCGUCCAUAGUUAGGAUUGAGGGCUGUAACUCGCCCUCAUGAUCUGGAUUCCGUAGUAAUCGCGGGCCAACAACCGC